rnacentral:pre_miRNA from 1 species
AGUGGAAUAGCUGGGUCAUAUUAGUUUUACUCUUAAUUUUUUAAGGAAUCUCCACAUUGCUUUCCAGAGUUGUUGUAAUAAUUUGCAGGUCCACAAACAAU